UUUGCUUGAUCCCAGCUCUCACCCUAUGCUCUAAUUUUCUAGGCACCUGACUUGAGUCUCUGAGGUCCUCUUUGCUGAAAUGAAAGCCUGCGCUACAGAGGAAGAUGGGAAUAGGAAGAUUAUGAACUACAGCUGCCUGAGUUCCAGCAUUUUGCUGCUGCUGGUGGUAUACCUUGGUCAUGACCUGGAAGGACCACCCACUCUUGUAAAAGAGAGGGUA